rnacentral:lncRNA from 1 species
CGCAGAGCCAGGAGGCGGAGGCGCGCGGGCCAGCCUGGGCCCCAGCCCACACCUUCACCAGGAUGUAUGCAUGGAGGUCGUAUCUAUCCAGUCUUGGGAACGUACUGGGACAACUGUAACCGUUGCACCUGCCAGGAGAACAGGCAGUGGCAGUGUGACCAAGAACCAUGCCUGGUGGAUCCAGACAUGAUCAAAGCCAUCAACCAGGGCAACUAUGGCUGGCAGGCUGGGAACCUGCUGUCUUGUGACACCCACCAGCAGCAGGGCUGCCGCGGUGGGCGUCUCGAUGGUGCCUGGUGGUUCCUGCGUCGCCGAGGGGUGGUGUCUGACCACUGCUACCCCUUCUCGGGCCGUGAACGAGACGAGGCUGGCCCUGCGCCCCCCUGUAUGAUGCACAGCCGAGCCAUGGGUCGGGGCAAGCGCCAGGCCACUGCCCACUGCCCCAACAGCUAUGUUAAUAACAAUGACAUCUACCAGGUCACUCCUGUCUACCGCCUCGGCUCCAAC